rnacentral:rRNA from 1 species
GACGAACGCUGGCGGCGUGCUUUGUACAUGCAAGUCGAACGAUGAAGUUCCUUCGGGAAUGGAUUAGUGGCGAACGGGUGAGGAACACGUGAGAAACCUGCCUUUCAUUCUGGGAUAACACCGGGAAACCGGUGCUAAUACCGGAUACUCCGUCUUGGCGGCAUCGCCGAGCCGGGAAAAAAUUUUGAUGAAAGAUGGUCUCGCGGCCUAUCAGCUAGUUGGUGAGGUAAAGGCUCACCAAGGCGACGACGGGUAGCCGGCCUGAGAGGGCGACCGGCCACACUGGGACUGAGACACGGCCCAGACUCCUACGGGAGGCAGCAGUAGGGAAUAUUGGGCAAUGGGCGCAAGCCUGACCCAGCGACGCCGCGUGAGGGAUGAAGGUCUUCGGAUUGUAAACCUCUUUCAGUAGGGAAGAAGCGAAAGUGACGGUACCUAAAGAAGAAGCACCGGCUAACUAUGUGCCAGCAGCCGCCGUAA